rnacentral:rRNA from 1 species
CGGGGGUACACGAGUGGCGAACGGGUGAGUAACACGUGAGCAACCUGCCCUUGACUCUGGAAUAACAGUUGGAAACAGCUGCUAAUACUGGAUAUGACCGUCCUCCUCCUGGGGGGUGGUGGAAAGCUCCGGUGGUCAGGGAUGGGCUCGCGGCCUAUCAGCUUGUUGGUGAGGUAAUGGCUCACCAAGGCUUCGACGGGUAGCCGGCCUGAGAGGGCGACCGGCCACACUGGGACUGAGAUACGGCCCAGACUCCUACGGGAGGCAGCAGUGGGGAAUAUUGCACAAUGGGCGAAAGCCUGAUGCAGCAACGCCGCGUGCGGGAUGACGGCCUUCGGGUUGUAAACCGCUUUCAGUAGGGACGAAGCUAACGUGACGGUACCUACAGAAGAAGGACCGGCUAACUACGUGCCAGCAGCCGCGGUGAUACGUAGGGUCCGAGCGUUGUCCGGAAUUAUUGGGCGUAAAGGGCUUGUAGGCGGUCCGUCGCGUCAGAAGUGAAAACUCAGGGCUUAACCCUGAGCCUGCUUUUGAUACGGGCGGACUAGAGGGAUGCAGGGGAGAACGGAAUUCCUGGUGGAGCGGUGGAAUGCGCAGAUAUCAGGAGGAACACCGGUGGCGAAGGCGGUUCUCUGGGCAUUACCUGACGCUGAGAAGCGAAAGCGUGGGGAGCAAACAGGCUUAGAUACCCUGGUAGUCCACGCCGUAAGCGGUGGGCACUAGGUGUGGGGGACAUUCCACGUUCUCCGUGCCGAAGCUAACGCAUUAAGUGCCCCGCCUGGGGA